UACGUAGGGUGCGAGCGUUAAUCGGAAUUCCUGGGCGUAAAGCGUGUGUAGGCGGUGCUCUAAGUUUGGUGUGAAAUCUCCCGGCUCAACUGGGAGGGUGCGCCGAAAACUGGAAUGCUUGAACGUGGGAGAGGAAAGCGGAAUUCCUGGUGUAGCGGUGAAAUGCGUAGAUAUCAGGAGGAACACCUGCGGUGUAGACGGCUUUCUGGACCAUUGUUGACGCUGAGACACGAAAGCGUGGGUAGCAAACAGG
rnacentral:rRNA from 1 species